rnacentral:rRNA from 1 species
AUGAACUGCUCCUUCCUCAAGGCGGCGGCGGUCGCCGUGGUCGUGGCCGUCCUGGCGGCCACGGCCGGCGCAAACUCCUUCGUCUCGGCCCCGCCUCUCCCCACCGUUUUCCUCUUCUCCCCUCCCUGCGUCCUGUGGAUCGCCGCCCAGGUCAUCGUCGUCUCGCUCUGGCUCCUUUGCCACCGCGGAACCGCCGUUGCGGCCGGACUCUCGUCCACGGCCAGCGACGUUUCCGCUGCCAUGGGCGGCAUGCUCUUCCCUUCCUCGGAACACGACGUCUUUGCUGCCGCUCCUGACGCCGUCGUCGCGCCGCCGGCGCCCGUCUCGACGAGCCGGCCGCGGGAAGCGAGAACGGCCAAGAGGCCGGUUGACCGCCCCCGCGUGCGGAAGAAGCUCGCCGGCGAGGGCACGGCCACGGUGGGAGGCGCCGCGGCGGAGGCCAAGCCCGAGGCCAAGAAGGAACGCAGCGAGGAGGAGAAGCCGAGGCCCUCUGCCGCCGCGACCGAGGCCGUUGGCGUGGACGACGUGUCGAUGGACUCGGCGUGGCAGUCCAUCGUGAGGAGCGGCGCGGCGCGGCCGGUGGCCGUGCGGAAGAGCGAGACGUGGGGCGGCGAGGAGCUGCCGCGGAUGCGGCGCGCGGCCGACAAGGCCGUGGUCGCGCGGAGGGAGAUGCGUAAGUCGGCCACGAUGGUCCCGCCUUCCCCGCCGCACCCGGCCGCGGCGUCGUCCCCGGUGGCGGAGAGGCAGGGGUGGCGCACCAGGGACGUGCUGGGGAUGGCGCAGGACGAGCUCCUUCGCCGCGCCGAGAGCUUCAUCCGGAGGCAGCACGAGCACCUGCGCAUGCAGCGGCAGGAGUCAGAGCAGCGGCAGGCCAUGGAGCGCGACCGCCGCCGCCCUGCUCCCAUCCGCGUCUAG